UUACAUCAAAAAGUAAAACUGGAAAUAAAAGUAUAAGAUCCUGUCUAUUCUAUUUGUCUUGAUCUUCUUGCUUCCGAUCUUCCUCUUGGAUCUUCAGUUAUUGCCUCACCUUCUUCUGGUGGGUACCUUGAUCUCAAAAUUUGAUCUUACAAUUAAUAUUUGAGACUUGAACUUGAAACUUGGAUUGAGUCAUUGAUACUCUACCAAAGAAACAGUCCAUAGAAUGCUUUGGAUGUUUGUUCUCCUGAUCAGAAGCCAAGAGAUGUCGCCUGAGAUAUUGGGCCGCUAUGGAUGCAAAGCUAGCUCUAACUAUCUUCAAACUGACCAUNN
rnacentral:lncRNA from 1 species